ACAUCAAAAAUAUUUAUCACAAUCCUAUUUGCAUCACGAGGAUUGCUUGGUUCAUGGCUGCUGUAGGUAACCAAAUAUUUCUCAACAGGAGAAAAGUCAAUCAGUUUAACCUGAGGAUGAGCAUAACGCAUUAACCUAUUAAAGGUGCUUGCACCACCCCAGACAGCAGCACCCUGCCUGUGAACUGUUGCCAAGUAUGUCCCAAGAGGGGACCACUGAACAAAACUCUCAGUCCAAUAAGCUCGUUUGUAAACAGGAUCAGGUUUCAACUGUCUUGCAUCAUUCCAGAAAACCUCAGUAUCUGAGCCAGCACG
rnacentral:misc_RNA from 1 species